GUGCGGGCCCUGUGCAACAAAACACCGUGAACCAUGUCAGGCGGGGAACCGAGCAGCAUUAAGCGGUACGUUUAGUGUGCCGCAGCAAGUCCGCACACC
rnacentral:SRP_RNA from 1 species